rnacentral:rRNA from 1 species
ACGAACGCUGGCGGCAUGCCUAAUACAUGCAAGUCGAACGCUGAAGCACCCUGCUUGCAGAGUGCGGAUGAGUGGCGAACGGGUGAGUAACACGUGGGGAAUCUGCCUAUAAGUGGGGGAUAACAUUCGGAAACGGAUGCUAAUACCGCAUAUAUUCUUGGACCGCCUGGUCCUUGAAAGAAAGACGGCUUUGCUGUCGCUUAUAGAUGAUCCCGCGGCGUAUUAGUUAGUUGGUGGGGUAAAGGCCUACCAAGACAAUGAUACGUAGCCGACCUGAGAGGGUGAUCGGCCACACUGGGACUGGGACGCGGCCCAGACUCCUACGGGAGGCAGCAGUAGGGAAUCUUCCACAAUGGGCGAAAGCCUGAUGGAGCAAUGCCGCGUGAAUGAAGAAGGUCUUCGGAUCGUAAAGUUCUGUUAUUAGAGAAGAACAAGUCAAGGAAUAACUGUCUUGACUUUGACGGUACCUAACCAGAAAGUCACGGCUAACUACGUG